rnacentral:snoRNA from 1 species
CACUGAUGAUGCCACGAUGACGAGUCAGAUACGGGUAAUCCGAUGCUGAUAAACACUUAUUUAUACCAUUCAUGCCUUACUGAGA